GCGCGAGCGGGGCAGCGGCGGCGGCUGGAUUCUUCCUCCGCCGGGGGCGGGACCUCCGCGUUCUCGCGAGCAGGCCGCACCGACCCCUGGUCUCCUUCUGGGCCCCGCGCCAUUUCCGCUACCCUCGGCCGAGCGGGCCCCCCAGGGCUCGUCCCGCCGCUGGGUAGCGCGGAGCUGACCCCCUGGCGGGAUGCGGCCGCCCCCGGGGACGUGCUGGCUGCUCCUCUGGCUGCCGCCGCUGGCCGUGCUGCCGGCGGGCGCGGUGCGCGGCGAGGAGAACGAGGCGGCGUUGUCAGUUCCAAGAUGUAAAGCUUUGAAGGAAAUGGAUUUAAUUAAAACGUCUCAGUCAGACUGUUACUGCUACAAUCAAAAAUCCCAAGUGAAAUGGAAGUAUAUAUGGUCAACUGUGCAGGUGAAAAUUACCAGUUCAGGCCUGCUCAGUAUCGUAUAUAUCACAGAAAGAUAUAAUUGCCAGUAUCCAGAAACCAUUCUGUCUAUUAUCAAAUGUGUGAUUCAUAACUUUUGGACACCAAAGGAGUCUAAUGAUAUAACCAUAACCAUCAAUCCAUAUGGGGAGACUGUGUGCUUCUCUGUGAAGCCUGCCAGGAAGAUAUUUAUCUAUACAGUAAGCGUGAAUCGAAAUAUUGUGGAUUUCAAACUCUUCCUUGUGUUUGUGGCAGGCAUUUUCCUCUUCUUUUAUGCAAAGACCUUGAGUCAGAGCCCUGUUUUCUUUUACUCUUCGGGGACUAUGCUAGGUAUUCUAAUGACAUUAGUCUUUGUCCUGUUGCUGGUGAAAAAGUUCAUUCCUAAGUAUAGCACCUUUUGGGCUCUAAUGGUUGGUUGUUGGUUUGCUUCAGUUUACGUUGUGUGGCAACUGAUGGAAGAUCUGAAGUGGCUGUGGUGUGAAAACAGAAUAUAUAUAUUAGGCUACGUCUUGGUAGUUGGGUGUGUCAGCUUUACCGUUUGUUACAAGCAUGGGCCCCUCGUGGAGGAGAGGAGCAGGACCCUCCUGGCGUGGACGCUGCAGCUCCUCUCCCUGCUCCUGGUCUACGCUGGCGUGGCCAUUCCUCAGGUCGCCUGUGCGGUGAUGCUCCUCAUCCUGUCAUCCAAGGUCCUGCACUUCCCACUGCGAGCGCUCGCUUACGUGAGAUGGGUUGCCAGACCUUCCGAGUUAUCUCCAGAGUGGCACUCAUGACUAACAGAGCAGCAGGAGUUUGAAGGCACUGGAUUUCUGUGUAUCUGGGAAUAGCUAGCGAUCCUAAAUGGAACUGCAGCCACACAGGAUGCAGUUGUGGGCAGAAGUAUGGUAUCGUGGAGAAGCCCUCACUUUAUAAUUGGUCCUGCCUAAUCAUAGUCAGAGAGUAAGUGUAACUGCUGGUUUCGACGCUUACUGCCCUGGCAGAGAAGGCCUGUAGUCCUUAACCUACCAAUCCAAGAACUGAACAUCCUCACUGAGAUCCAUUUUCCUUCUGUGACUCCAGUGGGACUACGAAAGUUGACCUAUUUCUGCCAAUAUGUACUGUAGCUUCUACAUGUGUGAGUGUGUGUGUGUAUUUCUGCGUUGAUGAGUUCAGGUGUUCAGCAGCGUAUGUGGUGCUAUGCUCCUCGAGGUGCGCCCUCUGUGCUGGCAGAGGAGCCCAGUUCCAUGCAGGGUGUGAGACGAGCAGGAGCCCUCAGUGUCCCCCAGAGGCAGGCCGAGCCUGCUGGUCCUCAGCCUCCUCCCUGCGCGGGUCUCCACCGGGGUGAGCGGGGCUGCUCUGCGUCUGAGAUGCUGCUGCUUGAGGGGACGGCUGGUUUCUCGAUGGGUCAGAGGGAGCCUCACACGGUCCAGGCCGGGCUCCACCAGUUGGAGAAGUUUCCCGAUCCUCACUGGUCCCCUGGAAGGAAAAAUUAGGAGGUGUCCCAUGGUCAAUGCCAGCAAACUUUUUAUAUGCUUUCAAGUAAGAUAUAGGAAACAUGGGGAGAUCAUCCUGAAGUAACCACUUCAGGAAACAAGUAACAGAGGAAUAAGGAUAGAAUGUCUUACCUUUCAUCUCCUUUCCUACGUGCAACUGUCCAAGCCGCAUGAAAAACACAGACACUAUAAGCAGACGUAUCUUGUGGAUAAAGGAACGUUACUACCAACAUGCCUGUUACUCCUAGGAAAACAAUUUAUAUCAGCACAUAUCUACUGGGCUCCCACCAGCCAUUGUAGCAAGUCACUGUGCAAGCGGCACGGAACGGGAACUCAGGCCACUUGCUAAGACCAGAGAAUUCAAGGCUGGAAAGCACCUUGUCCAACAGGAAGUGAGGAAGGCAUCCUCAGCCUCGGAGACAGGGCCAGGAAAAGAAGGUCCUGAAAUUGAGUCCUGAUGUAUAGUUGGGAUUUUAAAGUACACACUAAAAGUUAAAUAAGAGAGAACAUCCACGUAAAAAAAGUAAUGUAAACAAGUACGUAUGUAACCCACUGACUUGAGUAACUGAGCACCUAUCACUCCAGCACAUCACCUGCAGCAUGUCUGUAAAAUGCCACACUCCUGAUUUGUAAAAAUCAGGAAACAUUUCUUUUUUAAUGGAUUUUCCUCUGAAUUAGUACCCAUCACUUCAAAGAGCUGAGCACCAAAAAAGGAAAAAAAAAAAAAAAAAGUUUUAUUUCUGUAAUUCUAAACUGUGAAAGAAAAAAUAUUAGUAUAAUGACUUCUUCAUAAGAGUAGCUAAGCCAUACCAGCCAGGUUUUAUUAAUCUUAAUAUAUCAGAAAAAAUUUUAAUGAUACUUAAGCCUAAUAGGCUUCUGUGAAAACAAGGGUGAGUAUCCAAAGUAAUGAAAACACUGCCAUUCAGGCAGAACUCAUCUUUCCUCCUGCAUCACCUCCUUGCUUCACAUCCUUUAUAUGCUCCUCCCACCCUGAUAUCUUCCUUGACUUGUGAGCAGAGGAUUUGUGAGUUUAUUAUCUUGAUAAACCAGUAGGAUCAUACAUGGACUAUAAUGCAUUCUGGUUAUCAGCAAAGGAUCAGAUUUGGUUUAAAUUAGAGAAAUAUUACAUGUCAGUUUACAAAAUUAUGAUAAAUUUAAUUAAGGUAGUUCAAAUUAAGGAAAUUACUCAAACUACUCAAAGUCUUUCCCCUUUAUUUUUUUCCUCCUGUGUCCUCUGCAGCUACUCUAGAUAUAGAGCUGACAUGAUUCAUCAAGUGAAAGGGAGUGAUUAAUAAAAACAAAGGGAAGUAGACUCAUUACUUUGGCCAAACUGUUCAUAGAAGUCACGCUUAAACAUUUUCCAAAUGUAUUAUAUAGCUUCAGUUACAAUUACCUACAGUGUUUUUAUCCAUGCGAUUCGACGCUACUCAGGAGAGACCACACCUCUAGGGACAAGAAAAACCACACUUUUUAUCUUUCAGGUGAGCCCGCUAGCAAAACCACAUUUCCACUGAGUUAGGUAUCCUGUCAGACCCAUUUAGUGGCCUCAGAGUAUUACUUAAUUGAUCAGAUAUUUAUUGAGGUCCUAUUAUAUAGAAUGUCCCCAUUAGAAUUUUUAAAUUACAGAGAUUAAUAUAUAUAAUUCACCAAGGCAAGAACCAUAUAUCCACACUGUUAACUCAUGUCCACCAAAACAGACAUUUCAAAGAAAUAUAUAAAAUCAGAAUGGAUUUAUUUUCUUCCUUUCAAGAGGUACUGUCUUCUCUGUGAGGCCUUCCUGAACCCCAUAAGGCAGAAUUUUCCCUCUAUGGAACCUUGUAUACACCUCUAUAAUACACUUGUCACAAAGCACUGAAAUUAUUUGUCUGCAUGUCUAUUUCCCCCACCAGACCUCCCAUAAAUCUUGUUGAAUGAAUAACUGAAUAACUGAAACAACUGAGCCUGCUUAAGGCAGGGCAGCAGAGGAACUUUUUACCUGUAAAGGCUGUAUCUCAGAAGCACGGUUGUCUCUUGUUAGCUGCAUCAUCUCUUUAAUUUGGUAGAGCGCGUAAACAAAGGUCACCCAGGGAGAGGAGCUGACCCCCCAGGCUGGCUUGUUCACAUCCUCCUGUUCUUCCUGGUGCUUGGUUUUCUUGGGUGGAAGUCUGGGCUCAACGCGUGGCAGAACAUCUUCUGUCUGUUGCUGGACUAAGUCGAUGGUUGCUAUGGGAACGGGACUAGAAGGAACAGGGAUCCUUUCUGCCAGCAUCGUCUUGUCUGGAGAGAAAACCAUGUUUAAAUCAUUUCUCAGAGUUUUUACAUAUUUAAACAGAUGUAUGUAUGUAUGUAUAAAUAAAUAAUAAAAACUGAACAAAUGGACAACCUC